rfam:Triticum urartu cultivar G1812 contig992943, whole genome shotgun sequence.
UAAAUACUCACUCUGUCCCAAAAUUCUUGUCUUAGAUUUGUCUAAAUACGGAUAUAUCAAGUCACAUUUUAGUAUUAGAUACAUCCGUAUCUAGACAAAUCUAAGACGAGAAUUUUGGGACGGAGGGAGUAUACA